rnacentral:rRNA from 1 species
AAGACCUUGCGCUUUUGGAGCGGCCGAUGUCUGAUUAGCUAGUUGGUGGGGUAAAGGCCUACCAAGGCAUCGAUCAGUAGCUGGUCUGAGAGGACGACCAGCCACACUGGGACUGAGACACGGCCCAGACUCCUACGGGAGGCAGCAGUGGGGAAUUUUGGACAAUGGGGGCAACCCUGAUCCAGCCAUGCCGCGUGAGUGAAGAAGGCCUUCGGGUUGUAAAGCUCUUUCAGCCGGAACGAAACGGUUACGGAUAAUACCCGUGACUACUGACGGUACCGGAAGAAGAAGCACCGGCUAACUACGUGCCAGCAGCCGCGGUAAUACGUAGGGUGCAAGCGUUAAUCGGAAUUACUGGGCGUAAAGCGUGCGCAGGUGGUUUUGUAAGUCAGAUGUGAAAUCCCCGGGCUUAACCUGGGAACU